rnacentral:rRNA from 1 species
UACAGAGGGUGCGAGCGUUGUCCGGAAUCACUGGGCGUAAAGGGUGCGCAGGCGGCCGAGUGUGUGAGGCGUGAAAGCCCGGGGCUUAACCCCGGAAUUGCACCUCAAACUACACGGCUAGAGCAUUGGAGAGGGUAGCAGAAUUCAUGGUGUAGCAGUGAAAUGCGUAGAUAUCAUGAGGAACACCGGAGGCGAAGGCGGCUCACUGGGGGUCUUCUGACGCUGAGGAACGAAAGCCAGGGGAGCGAACGGG